rnacentral:lncRNA from 1 species
GGACACGUACGCAGAAGAGUCGCUGGACGCAGCUGUCGUAGUACGUUGUACUGACGGCGAGCCUUGACACCGGAGCAACGUGCCGAUCCAUCGACGCCGGCCACCAGCGAGGCAAGGUGCUGCACAGCUGCGUUUCUUCCUCGUUCUCUUCAAGUGUCUUCCUGCUUUUUUCCCCGUCCGCAGUACAACAACCGUGCCAUAGCUCCCUAGCCGUGGCGACAGCGAAAUGACACGAAGAGUGGGUGCAUGGACGACGUGAGAGGGAAAA